rnacentral:tRNA from 1 species
UCCCUGGUGGUCCAGUGGCUAAGACUUUGCACUCCCAAUGCAGGGGUCUGGGGUUCAAUUCUUGAUCAGGGAA